rnacentral:rRNA from 1 species
GUGGGGAAUAUUGGACAAUGGGCGAAAGCCUGAUCCAGCCAUGCCGCGUGUGUGAAGAAGGUCUUCGGAUUGUAAAGCACUUUAAGUUGGGAGGAAGGGCAGUAAGUUAAUACCUUGCUGUUUUGACGUUACCGACAGAAUAAGCACCGGCUAACUUCGUGCCAGCAGCCGCGGUAAUACGAAGGGUGCAAGCGUUAAUCGGAAUUACUGGGCGUAAAGCGCGCGUAGGUGGUUUUGUAAGUUGGGGGUGAAAUCUCCGGGCUCAACCUGGGAACUGCCUCCAAAACUGCAUGACUAUAGUACGGUAGAGAGUAGUGGAAUUUCCUGUGUAGCGGUGAAAUGCGUAGAUAUAGGAAGGAACACCAGUGGCGAAGGCGACUACCUGGACUGAUACUGACACUGAGGUGCGAAAGCGUGGGGAGCAAACAGGAUUAGAUACCCGGGUAGUCC